UACGUAGGGUCCGAGCGUUGUCCGGAAUUAUUGGGCGUAAAGGGCUCGUAGGCGGUUUGUCGCGUCGGGAGUGAAAACACGGGGCUUAACCCCGUGCCUGCUUCCGAUACGGGCAGACUAGAGGUAUGCAGGGGAGAACGGAAUUCCUGGUGUAGCGGUGAAAUGCGCAGAUAUCAGGAGGAACACCGGUGGCGAAGGCGGUUCUCUGGGCCUUACCUGACACUGAGGAGCGAAAGCGUGGGGAGCGAACAGG
rnacentral:rRNA from 1 species